GAUCAGGCUCAGGAUGAACGCUAGCUACAGGCUUAACACAUGCAAGUCGAGGGGCAGCAUGAACUUAGCUUGCUAAGUUUGAUGGCGACCGGCGCACGGGUGAGUAACACGUAUCCAACCUUCCCGUUACUCUGGGAUAGCCUUUCGAAAGAAAGAUUAAUACUGGAUAGUAUCGAGAGAUUGCAUGAUAACCCGAUUAAAGAUUUAUCGGUAACGGAUGGGGAUGCGUUCCAUUAGA
rnacentral:rRNA from 1 species